AGUUUUUUGCAGUGGCAGUAUUGCAGCCAAUGAGGUUUAUCUGAGAGGUGAUUAUUGCUCCUUGAAAAUUGAAAAAAAAAAAAAAAAAAAGACAUGACAUUUGCAUAAAUUCUUUUUUUUUUUUUUUUUGAGAUGGAGUCUCACUUGUUGCCCAGACU
rnacentral:snRNA from 1 species